GGAGGAGGGAGCCGCUGACACACGAGCCCGCGCCCGCUCCCGCUGACAGGCAGGCAGCCGCCCGCGCCCGCCGCCUCCCCCGCUUCCCCGCCCCAGGCCCCAGCGCCUCCCAAGCAGCAGGCCCUAGCCGCAGAAAUGCGGCCGCGCGGCCGAGCCAGGGCCCGGGGGUGGGGCCGCCUGCCAGUGUUUUUCCAGUUCCCCCGGUAGCUCCGGGCCGCAUUUAGAAGCCGGGGAAACUGGGCCGAGGCCAGUGUCAGGGCACCAGAGGCCCUCGCGGCCUGCGGGGCACUGCCAAGCGGGAGGCCAAGCCAGGGCAGGAGUGGGCAGAGGGGCAGGGGGCGGGGGGCGGGGGGGCGGGGGGGGGGGGGGGCAAGGGCAUCUUAACCCACACAGUCGUCCCAAAAAAGACAGAGCUUCCAGACAGCAACUCUGGCUUCCUUAAAAAAUGAUUCUCAUUUCUGAAAACGCGGAGUACCUACUAAGUGCCAGUGCCACUGCCAGCGCCGAAAGAUCCCUGGAAUUCCCACACAGCUCCUCCCUCCCAGAGCUCUCGGUGUAGCUAGGGAGGUAGGGAAGCGCUCCCGUGACUCAGCCCCGGCACGAUGUGGAAAUGAAGUUUAAACAAAGGGCACCUAAGAACAGAGAGAUUAAUUCUGCUUUGAGAGGAAACUAGGGCUAGUAGCGAAGUAUUUGAUGGGGUUGUGAGGAUGGAAGGAGUACAUGCACAUAAAGCAAUUGGAAUGGUGCUUGGCACAGAAGCCCUCAAUGCAUGUCAGCUAGUCUGAUUCCUAAACAACCAUGGAGAGAGAUGCUCACCAAACAAGAAAGCCAACCCUGUCCUCUGCCCGGUGGUUCCAGGAUCGGCUCAUAAUUGCUCCAUGCCCCAUGUGAAAGGACAACUGCUUCUCCCUUAGUUUCUGAAUUUCAGGGCCAGGAGAGGGCAAACGUAAUGUCAAAUCAGUUUCAGAAGCGUCUGCCAUAUAUGACAUUUAGGAGUAAAGAGCCCUACCUGAGCCUCCUCCCCGUGGAUUUUCCUGCUGUGUUCGCACUGUGUGCUGUGCUGCCAUGGGUGUUUCUCCCAUCGACCCGCUCAUCGCACCGCCCGUGAGUUGUCCUUCAUGGUCGCACUGCAGCCUCAGGAGCUUUACAAUGUCUGGGACACAGUAGAGGUCAAUGAAGUUCUGUUGAGCAAUUCCAGUGACCUACAACAUUUGGAUAGGAGUCGUCUGCUUGUUGCUUGAUUUCUUGUUUGUUCUCACCCCAGAAGCCAACUCUUAGCAAAAGUGAUGAACGGCAAAUGUACGCCUGUAAUCAGGGGUCAUUCUGGAUGUGUGUGUGUGUGUGUGUGUGCACACAAAAUUUUAAGCGGAAGUAUCCUGAAUUGUAUUUUGAGCAACUUACGACAUCACUUGAAAUUACAAGAAGCACCAUGGGAUAUAACAAGUCCAGGCUGGGAAUCUCUACAAUCCUCCUUGACUUUGGUUAAGACCUUGUAAGAGCACCUUAGCCACCAUCUUUGAAGCAUGGUAGAAGGCCCAUCCUCAUGUUUUUCUUUUUCCCCUCGGUUGAAACAUUAAAGUAACCGAAUAUGUAAUUUUUUGCAGACCCCACUCCAAACAAGACAUUGAAACAAAAUUCACAUGAUGUCCACAUGCCAGUACAUGUCACACAGCUGCUCUUGGCUAUUUAUGGAUGUGAGAUAUUACCUCCAGAGUUAGACUGGAAGUGAACUGAGUCAUAAAUUGUUAUCGAAGGAAGCGUGCACUUGCAUCUCUGGAAAUUAAUAUUAACAGGCAAAGGCUUCCCAAGCCUGUUCCAGCUGGAGUCGCCAUCCCCUGACACGUCUUGUCCACUAACUUCGUGUGGCUCAAUUAUACCUUGGUUUGGGAGCCUUCUUCAGAGUUGCAUGUGUUUGAUUGUAAAUGGAGAUCUAACAGCGAACACUUUUUGCUGGUCUAACAGACAUAUGAAGGCACUUCUUGCCAGACCCGCAGGGUGCAGGGCUUUGCUGAGAAAACCUGCAAACAAAUCUCAUAAAGCUCAUGGCUCCCGAGGCCGCCUAGAGUCCCCGUCUUCAUCUUUUUCAACCUCUUCCCAACACUAAACUCUUACUGAGCACCUACUCUGUGCUGUCACUAUAGAGAGACAGAUGAAUGAGACAGCGGCCUCUCAAUCUCUGGGGAAUUGAGGUGUAAAUACAGUAUUUUUUGAAGGGGCCCCCUGAGGUAACUCAAGCAAAACGAAUGCUUCUUUUUGUAAAGACUGGGGCUUCCAGGCAGCUGGGCAGGCGAGAGCAGCUGGAGAUGCAGAGCAGAGGGGAGAAGAGGCUCCCAGCCUGGGUGUGGUGUUGAGAGGGAGGGCAGAGAGAGGCCGGGCCUGACUGGUUUCAGGAGCUAAUGAGUCACAGCCAUCAGUCAGUCAAUCAUGGCCCAGGAAACGCUGCCUCUUUAAAUACCCUGGAGGGGCCAGGUGGAGCCAGAAGAACCUGACCUGGAGAUGGGCCCUGCCCCAACUCAUGGUGACCUUGGCAAUGUCCCUUGCACUCAUUUAACUCCAGUUUCUUUAUCUGUAAAGUCAGAGUGUUGGAUCCUUUGGUCCCGGGGCUCCUCCAACUUUGAGACCACAAUCCCCUGAUUUGCCCUCCCAAGAGGCCUGCCCCUGAAUAGGUGUCUAUAUGUGCAGAUAAUGUGAACUAUGGAAGCUUUAUGCCAGGUGUUGCAAUUAGAUGCUUAUGAUUCAUGAGGUGCAAGCAUACAUGAUAUGCCCCAGGACACAGAGCCUCUUUCAGGCUCUCAUUUAUCCCGCCUGUCCCCAGUCUCUGCCCCCUCCUGAUUUCUACCUCCUUUGUCUCCCUCUACUCCCCUCUCUGUUUGGUUCACGUUUUAAUCAUCCAUUCAUUCAACAAAUACAUUUAGCACCUACCAUGUACUGUGCACUACAUCAGGCACCACAAUCGAUCCGAACCCCACUCUGAGGUGAACUUUCUAGGUGGAAAGGGAGGAAGAGAAGGCAGGGAGGGGGCCCAGGAGACUGGGCUCUCCUGUGCUGUCAGGCUGGACUCAGGAAUCUGAUGCUCGGCUCUUGAGCUCCGGGAGGGCCCUCUCCUACUGUGCGCGGGCCUGCUGCAGCGGCCAUCGAUUUUCUGGAUUUUCAAUAGAUUUCCUGGAAUGGAGAGAGAAGGAUCUCCCACCACACUUCAGACUCAGCAUUUCGAAAUGAAAGUCGAGAUUCCCUCCUUCUCACAUCAUUGCUCUCCCCUCAGUUAGAAGGAAUCUCCCUCCUUCCUCUCUCCAGUGAAAGCCAUUUCAGUCCCUUUGGCCUCCUGACACUCAAGGAUAUUUGGGUCUGUUGAUGGGCUACAGAGGAGACAAGUGACCCCAAGAAGUGGAAGGGCGAGAGUGGUUGUGACAAGCAAGCAAGGAGGGGCACUGGCCCACCAGCAGAGGAUUAAAGCAGCAGAAGGAAGUCGUGUGGGGGGCAGGAGAAGGCCCAGGGCUCAUUGGAGUGAGGCUCCUGGCAAAGCCUGCCAUGGGGAGCUGAGUAAUCUGGCUUUUAGGGUUCAGGUUACUUGACAGCAGCUGGCAUUUCUCUGCCGCCUCCAAGUCACCUUCUUUCCCCUCCCUGUGGCUCCUUGUUUGCUUUGAACUGGGAGAGGCUGUCAUGGAAUCUAAUCAAUGCUCAGAGGUGGAGGACACCAACCUGAGAAGACAUGGGGCGAGCUCCCCCCUAGACCAUGGACAGAGCAGGCAGACCUGGGCUCCUGCUGGGGUUAAGGCCCUCCCACCAUCCCCAGUCAGAUCUGGAGAUUAACACCCCCACCCAUUCCCCUUCCCCUAUGGGAGGGAUCACCUUUCCCUUCUGGACUUUGAGAGGAGCCGUCUUACCCUCAUUCCUCUCUGUGCUGAGGGGUGUUCCUAUAUGUAAUUACGCAGGUGGUGAGGGCAGGAAGAGGGAGCGUGGAACCAGGAAGCCCAAAGUUUUGCAGCCUCCGAAUGAAAGAAGACAAAUUCUGAGCUGCGGUGGAGAGGAUUGUUUAAAAGCAGAAAUGAAUUGGGGUGAGAGAGGAAGGUGGUGGAUGUCGAGAGAGAGUGAUUUACAAUGUUCUGGGCACAGACAGAAUCCUGGCCCCCUCUCUCUGCAGCCGGAUCUCAGGGCUCGCUCGGCCUGAGAAUCUCAAUAGCUCAACCUCUCUCCUCCUCGCCCCCCCCCACUCCCUCGCCAUCUCUCCCUUCUGUUGCUUCAGUGGUUUGCAUCGUCAUCUGCCAAACUCCCCAGAACCUGGUAUGCACUUCAGCCCCAGCUGUAUGUCCUCCUCUGCACUCCAGGAACUGCACAAAUAAACCGCUGAGAACAGAGCCCUCCUCACCACAAACAGCACGCGGGCUUCUGCUCAGCCUCUGUGGCCUUGGACCGGCUCCUGGGAAGGGCCCCUGCCUGGGGACAGGCACCGUCACAGCCACAGCCUGCCUCUCUCAAACACUCAGCCAUGGGGAGCCCCUGCUUCCCAGAUGAAGGGGCAGCUCGGUGGGAAACAGUCGGCUGUGCCCACAGCCACCCUCACCCUGGGCUAAGCCAGGUCCAAGGCAUACGGCUUCUCUCCCGGGGGACCAACCAUGCAACUCAGUGACCUUGAGAAAGUUAUUUUAGCCUCUGCAGACUUCCCUUUCCCUGUUUUUAAAUAGAUCAGAGAUUUAUGCUGUUUAAUUCACAAAGGAGCUGCAUGGAAAAAGGCUGAUUUGUUCUGAAGGACUUUGGCUUCCUGAGAGGAACCCAAGGUUCUAGGAAAGCUCCUUGAGCUGCACAGAUACCUGUGUAUGCUCAUGCAUGGUGCACAGAUGGGUCCAUGCUCUCGCCACAUCCAUUCACCCACUGGGCUAUAACCCUGGGGACAGGGGUAUUGUUGCAUGCACUGCUGGGUCCCCUGCAAUGUAGCACUUGGAAUAAAGUUAAUGCUCAAUAAAUAUUUAUUGAAUGAACGCACUUGACAA
ensembl:lncRNA